rnacentral:lncRNA from 1 species
AGGCCCAAACCUUUCGGAUCUUUUGAACAGUUUUUUCGCAAAUUUUGACGCCGAAACUAACAUUAGGGUUUACAGCACAAGUAUAUAUACAUAUAAAGCUGUGACCACACGAUCCCAACCAUCUAUGUCUGAUGGCACUGGCACGUUUUGUUGAAUUUGUGAGGUGAGUUUUGUUUUUCUUCUUCUUCCCUGUUCUCUCUGAUCCAAAAAUGGUGAAGGCUCUAUAUUAAGAGUCAACAGCAGGAGCUUGUUCUAUAGUUACCUGACUGCCGCUUAGAGCCAAGAUGAAAACACCAGUUGAAGAUCCUUGAAACAUAUCUCCUUUGUUUCAAGACACAAUUUCUGGUCAAAUUUUGUUUUUUUGUUUUCGUCAAUUGUUGUUGAUGGCACUUCAGUCAGACACGGGUGUUUGUUGCUGAAUCUAAAAACAAACAACCUUUUGCAUGGUGCCUAUAUAUAAUCGGCUAUUGAUUCACGAUUGGGGGAACUUUUCAUCUCUGGUUCCUUCAAAUUUCAAGCAGCUACAUCUUCUUCAAUGAAUAAACUUUUAUAAACCUAAAACUGUACAUUUUGCUCAUCAAAAUGUAUUUGAGAGGCACAUUAGAAACUAGUAGAGAUUAUUCAGCAAGAUUUCAGAAACAAAAUGAAACCUGGAAAAAGAAAGUAAAAAAAAAAAUGAAAGUUUUAGAAUUAAAUUUGAAGUCUUUGAACCUCUCAUAGCAACUGCUACUAUCUCAAAUUCAUCAGUCACAACUGAAAACUGUAUGAGAUUAGCAUGUUUAGUAUCAGCAAAACACUUUAAAUUGUAUGACAUUACAAUGUUUCAGUAUCAGCAAAACACUUUAAACUGCACGACAUUACCAUGUCUCUAGUAUCAUCAGCCAAACACUUUGAAACAGAGUGAAAUCAAUUUCAGAAUCACUUAAGUCAGCAUCAAAAUCCAUUUCGUAGUACUACAUCAUCAAAACAUAGUUAGCAACUUUUCUGAUAUUCUUCAUACUACAUCAGUUUCAGGUUUAGUUUUAAAAUCAAAAUUCAAUUUAUCAGUAGUACUAUUAAUACUGACCUCACCAUCAGAAUUCACAGGUCUAAUUAUUAGAAUCAUGAAUAACAGCCAACUUCCUAAAACCAACCAUUAGCUUUUCAAAAUCAUCAGUAUAGAUAUAAUACACAUCCAACAAAAUCAAGUGAUGCAUCAGCAACUUUCUCGGUCAAACGUUGCAACCUCUUUUGUUGAAUUUUGAUUUAAACGUUACAACCUUCUUUGUGAACGUUGGAAGAUUACCAACGUAUGCCUCCUUUUUUGUUACUUUCUUGAGAGGGUUAGUUCCAUCACAGGGUCUAUAAAUAGACCUUCAUUUGCUCUUCGUUUCAUUUUGGAAGAUUACACAACAUUUUCUCUUUUUUGUCCUCUCCUCUUAGUUUCAUUAUUUUUUCUUUUUCUUUUCUAAUAAUAUUUUAGAUUUAUUUAAAAUUUCUUACUAGUUCUGGUAUUCUACAUUUCUGGAAAAUUCUGGUUGAAUAGUGGAAGGUCUAUUUAUCUUUUGAAAAAUCUUUGUUGCUAUUUUUUAUUAUCUUUUGUCAACUUUUUUAAGUCAAUUUUAAGAAUCAAUAACUUAUAUCGACCAAUGAGAAUAUUGUUUUUGAAACUCAUACGGUGUUUUCGAAACAUUUUUUAGAUGAAGUCUUAUCUAAUCAUAAUUUCUAGCAUCAUAUAAUUUGUAAUGGUUGAAUAAUGUCUAUUUUAGUGCUUUAGCACUAAUUCUUUGCCUUUCCUUGGGAAUGCAGGUCAGUUGCAAUAUCAUGAUCGUUUUCUUAUCGAAACAGAAAAGGUCUAAUUUGUAAAGCUAGGUUGAUGGAUGAAGCCAAGAGGGUUUAUGAGGAGCUAUCAACUUUUGGUAUAGCUCUGAUCUUGUAUGUCAUCGUACCCUGCUGAAAUGUGGAAAGAAUGAAUGAACUAUUUUGAAAGCAUAAGUGAGUCAACAAAAGGCGAAAGCUUCAUCAUGAGUAAAGCUGUGCAUUCUUACAAAUCUGCCGAAAAGCAAUGUAAAGCCAAAGCUAAGGAAUUUUAAUGAACAAUGGAAUCCCAUUCUUUAAGAAACUUGAGGUUGUAUUAGGAGAGUGAAAACUCCAUGAGAUACUUGUGUAUGUGAGAAGAAUUAUGACAGUGGAACAAACUAAUCAACUUGGCAAUGGUCAUGGUGGAUGUUGCAUGUAUGCUGUGGGUGACAUGAUGAUUGGGCUCGUGGCUCAGAAGCACAUUUGUGAGGGGGACGUGAUUCACGUUUUACUUUUUGGAAAUAGUCAUAAUAUGGAGAAUUAUGUUAUAAUAGAAUCUGUGUUGGUUCGAAUCUCUAUAAUUAGGAUGUUCAAAAUUCAUUCAACUGCACUAAACUAUCAAAUAAAUGUAUUAUAUUAUACCACAAAUUUGGAAUUGUUUAGAUUUAAAACUAAACUCUACCUUCAGUUUUAAAAAAUUGAACUCGACUUUUAGUUUUAAAAAAUUGAACUUCUAAAAUUAGGUUUAGUUAAUUAUUUAUUAAUUUAAAAAUAGUUAAUUUUAUAUUUUUUACUUGUUUCAAUAUAAUUUAACUUUGGUUGACAGGAUUUAAUUGAUUUUUAUUCGGAGUCAACUUAUUCGAACUGAAUUUGAUCAGAAUCGAUCAUGUACGUCCUAGUUGAAUUUGAUCGAAUUUCGAUCAAAGUUGUCUCGACAUUUUGUCAAACCUAGUUAUAUUCAACCUUUGGUUUAACUCGAUUCAUCUCAACUUUAAUCCAAUCCAUUCUGUCUUGACUUUUGUCUAUGUCAACUCAUCGGCUUGUUUCGACCUUGGAUUCAACAUGAUUUAUAUUGACAUUUGACCUGACUUAGUCGAAUCCGUCUCGAACUUGAGUUAAGCCAGUUGAUCUCAACUUUUGUUCUGACCAACCUAUCUCAACUUUUAGUAUAUUAUGGCCUCAAAGUUGUGUUAUAUGUGAAAGUAGAAAACAAAAAAUAGUUUCAGUUUGUUUGAACUAAUUUUGAGUUAAUUUAGUUUAGACAAUAAACUUUUUUUAUUCACUGUAGUUUAUAGUAGUGUAUAUAAGUGCAAUUAAUUUUGUCCUCCUCUAUUCUUAACCUUGUGUAAGGAGUUAUAGAUUGAAUUUAGCUUGUCAAAUUGGUCUGGUUUGACUGUCUGUGUAUUGGAAACUAAAAUCUCACCUUUUUGUCUCGUUUUGGUUCAUUUUUGCUGUUGUAUAUGAAGUGCUUCAUGCUACUUUGGGCAAAUGCUGUUCGUUAGUUACAAAUAAGCAUAUAUAGUUUACCCUUCUAAUCCAUUUAUUCUGGUUUAAAUUAUGAAUUUGUUCAGUCAUAGUGCGAAAGCCAAAAGGGUGAGGAAAAUGAAGAUCAUUUAUGGACUGUGUUUCAUUGAAAUACAUCACUUUCAAAAGCUGCAUAAUCUCUCUCAAAAUUCAUCUGGGGUUUGAUUCUACUGCUAAAAAUGGGGAUUCACAUUGAGGAAUCCAACCGUCUUUCCAAAGUUCAAAUGUCGUUAUGAUUGAGAUGAAGAAUCUAGAAAUAUACUUCUGCAUACUGUACUGUUGUAAUUUUUCUUGUACGAUAUCUGUUUGAUAUAUGAAUGUAUCUGAUAUUAUUUGUAUAUUAUCCCUAUCAUUGGCACAAUAUAUUUGUUUUAUUUAUGGAAAAUGAUAUUUUAACACUCUUUUUUUACACCAUUUUGACACUGCACACGUGUCAAAAUGUGAUUGGACGAUUUCAAAUUAAAAAAACAAACUUUGGUCUUUCUCUUUCAAACAUACCCUUGCCUCAACUUUUUUAAUUUGAAAUCGUUCAAUCACAUUUUAAUACGUUUGCAGUGUCAAAAUGGUGUCAAAAAAUAGUGUUAAAAUAUCAUUUUACUUUAUUUAUAUCACACUUAUCAGUUGGGCUUAUCGAAUGAUAAGAUAAGAGAAGUUUGUCCUUUCACGCAAUUCAAAGUUCUUCACCUGAAAAGGAUCACUUCUUACAAUGAUGCAGAUGAAGCAAGUUGUGCAACUUGCUGAUACGUGUUCUUUUUUUAAAUAAAAGCAACUUGUGUCACUUGCUUGAUACAUGGCCAACUUUUAAAAGAAUAACCGAUUCAGCACAAUGAUAGGGAAUUUGUAAUUUUAUAUUAAGUUUUUAAUAUAAGAUGAUAAGAGAGAAAUUGUUAAGAAAAAUAUAAUAUUUGACUCAUGCCUAUUAGGAGAUUAAGAUUCUCAAUAUUACAUGAAGUGGUGAUCUAAUCUCUUUAGCCCUUAAUAUUUUAUUACAUGCACAAGAUCAUUGUACUCUGAUAUUUUCCUUUAGUUGAUAUUUUUAUAUAUUAAUUUUUUUUCUUUUUCUAUUAAGACGGCACUGUUAACUUUUGUUUUAUUUUACUAGAUUAAAUAUAUUUUUUAUCUUUUAAUUUUAGUUAAAAUUAAAAUUAGUCUCUCAAUUUUAAAAAUGUAUGAAUUUAGUCAUUUUAACCAAUUUUGGUUGAAUUUAUUUGAUGUUUCAGAUAGUUCCUUAGUUAAUAUUGAAAUAAAGAUUUGUCAAACAAGAUAAACAACUCAAAUACUAUCAUGAAACACACUUAAACCAUCAAAUAAAUUAACAAAAUUUAAUUAAAAAAACUAAAUUCAUACAUUUCUAGAAUUAAAAUAUUAAAUUAGAUCAAAAUUUUAAAAAUAAAGUAAUUCUAAUUUUUAAACAAAGACAUGUUUAACAUGAGGAUCUUUCUAAUGUCAACUUACCUUCUCAAAUAAAUUAUAUGAGGUUUAGAGUGUUUGGCUUUACGACAGAAAGUAAUAAAAUAUUUUAUUUUAUAUUUAUUAAAGGUUAGAUAUUUGUUGAUAAAUGAAGAUAUUUUUCUGGCUGUGCAUUUGUCAACUAAUAAAAAAAAUUAAUUAGGUUGGAAAAUGUAUAAAAAGUUUAAAAUGAAAAGUCACUCCCUUUUGAGCAUUGGUUUAGAAUAUUAAAUCUAAAAAUUACCCCUUAAAGCGAGUACUGGGAAAUUGAAUAAGUAAUCGUUAAGAGAAAGUCAAUGGUUGUAGUUAAAAAUGCUUCAGCUUUCAGGAAUGCUAUACAAGCCACCAUGGAUAUUUAUAUAUUGUACUAUUAUCAAAGAUAUUUCAUAUAUAUAGGUGCAGUGAUUUCACUGCAUUGAUAAAGUUGAAGGAUUAGUGAAAUGGGUAUCUGCAUAUCAGUUCCAGAAAAAGAUGAUGAUGAUGAGAAUGUGACAAUAUUUGAAGAAAGGAAGAAGGUCCUGAAUGGGAGUCAGAGACUCUUCUCUGUUUACUCCAAACAGGGUACCAAAGGACUCAACCAAGAUGCUGCCUCUAUUCACCAGGUUUUUUCUGCAGUUUCAUUGUUCAAACAUCAAACAAACCACAGAAUUUCAUGUUUUUCUUUUCCAAUUUCUUAGGAAUUUAUGAAUCUCAAAGAUAUAAGUUAACAAACCAUGAGAUUUUAAAAUGGUUUUAGAAAUCAAGCCAAGUGAUAAUCCUUAAAAAGCCAAUCUACCUUUUCAGUGUCUGUUUUUAUAAGUUUGAUGUCUGCAUUUAAAACAGUUUUACAAUCUAUGAAUAGAAAAAUCAUGAUUUUUUAAAUGACUAAAACAAAAGAUCAACAGAUGUAUUGUACAUGAUCAUGUGGUUGGUUAUGAACUGUUUUCUCUUGCUUUGUCAGUCUGAUUAAGAUUUGUUGAGUACAUAAUCAUUUUCAUGUGCAUUUUCCUAAAAAAAAAGGGUUAUGGAACGGAAGAUGGAACAUUUUGUGGUGUUUAUGAUGGUCAUGGAGGGAAUGGACACAGAGUGAGUAAAAUAGUAAGCAGUCAAUUAUCUUCCCUCAUUCUGGAACAAAAGAAUGUUCUUGAAAAGAUUGAUGCUAUAGAAAAUGGUUGUCACAACACCACCCCAAAAAACCAUGUUGGCACAAUGAAAGAAAACUCAGAUGCAAACAACUUUCAGAAAUGGAAAGAAGCAAUUGUUAGUGCCUUCAAGGUGAUGGAGAAAGAGGUCAAGCUUCAGCAUAAUCUAGAUUGCUCUGGCAGCGGAACCACUGCUGUAGUUAUCAUAAAACAGGUAAAAGAAUUGCCGGAAACUCAUCUUCUUUUGAACUCAUUAGUAAAAAUCACAAAGUUUUAAUAAACUAAUGAUAUUUUAUUUAGUUUCUAUUAUAAUUUUUAAUAAGUUUUAGGAGAAAUGACCAAUUAGGAAACAUGAAACAAAAUCACUACACCUCCUUAAUAAACUUCCUAUUAAUUUUCAUGGUUAUUGUGAAAAGAACAUGAUGAAUAACAAUACACAGGGUGAAGGUCUUGUCAUAGCAAAUCUGGGUGAUUCGAGAGCAGUGAUGGGAACAAUAUGUGAAGAAAAACUCGUAGCUACCCAAUUGACCACGGAUUUGAAGCCCGAAUUACCUCGUAAGAUUCUUCUUCUGGGACACCAUUUUUCUUGAGGUCUAAACCUGAAAUGCUUGUACUUAAUAUCACUUGAUGGCAACACAGUGUUUGAGAUGGACAAAUCCACAUCAAAGUUUAAAGAUUAAAAAUAUUUUAACCUUUUAGAAUAAUAUACUGGCAGAAACUUCUGGUUUAUAUAAAUAACAAUGCAUGGAAGCUUUAAGAAGUGAAUUAAAGUUGUUUGCAUGCAAAACUAUUAAAACCAAGUAAAUUUAUUUGGAACCAAAUUGGAAUGCAGGAGAAGCAGAAAGAAUAAGAAGGUGCAAUGGUUGUGUGUAUGCAUCAAAGGAAGAACCAGAAAUCCAGAGAGUGUGGAUGCCCAACAAUGAACACUCCCCUGGCCUAGCCAUGUCUCGAUCUUUUGGAGAUUUCUUGCUCAAGGAUUAUGGUGUUAUUGCUAUCCCAGAUAUUUCUCACCACCCUUUAGCAUCAAGUGAUCAAUUUAUUGUUCUUGCUAGUGAUGGGGUAGGUGAUAUUUGCAGAAAAGAGUGUUAUGUCUGCAUGCAAGAUUCAAAACAAAAAGAAACAGUUAGCAGCACACUAUUUAUCAGAGUAAAUCAUAUUAACUAUUUUAUAAAAUUAAGUAAACUCUUUUUUUGGUACAUUUUUCAUUUAUAUUUGGCUUUAAACACGUAAUUUACUAUAUCUGAAGUUUAUCUCUUAAAUAAACUGUUGUACAGUUUGUCAUAUUAGUUAGAUUUUCGAAGAGAUUGUAUGUUCAAAAAUAUUUUACUAACAUUUUAAAAAGGUUGUCUAAUACAUAUUAUAAUGCACACAUUUCUGUUGUGUUUAUCUCUUUCCAUUACAUCAUUUAUUACAUUUUAACUUUUUCUUUGUUCCUAGUAUAAAUUGUUAUACAACUUGGGUUAUGUAACAUUUCUUAUUAGAACUUGUUCCCUGUUAUUGUGUAUGGAAUUAGCUAGUGGAGUGCAUUUUUGCCCAAGCAUUCUAUAAAGAACUUUUUUUUUUCUUGCUUAUAGGUGUGGGAUGUACUGAGUAACGAUGAGGUUGCAUCAAUUGUGUGGAGUGCAGAGAGUGAAGAGGUUGCAGCAAGAGCAGUAGUGGAAGCAGCCACUGCUGCAUGGAAAAACAAGUUUCCUUCAUAUAUGGCAGAUGACUGCACUGUGGUUUGUCUCUUCUUGCACCAGAAACCACAACUUCAGCCCUUUAAAAACUAACCUUCGUUAGUUAGUGCUCCUUCACUAAUAUUCUAGACACCAUUUCCUCAAAUCAUGCUUUGUGAAAAGUCCACAAUGAUGUUCAUUGAAAACUAGAUGUUGUUAGCAGGGCCAAGAAACUGAGAAAGAGGUAUUGCUUCAAUCACUGAUAGAUAUUGCAUGUAUUUCAGCGAGCGUUUUGUAGAGUUAAUUUUAAAUAAAAUUGAUAUUCUUAAAAUUAAAUAAUGUAAUGCUUUUAGAUGUUUUAUUUUAAAAGAAAAUAGUGAUAAUAUACAAUUUAUAGCCAAACAAAAAAGUUUGCUUUAAAAUUAAUUUAAAUAAUUUAUUCUAGAUCCAUACACUCAUAUAAUACCGAUUAGUCACUUACUGUACAAAUUUAUCGAAUAUAAUACCGACUAAUUCAUAAGUGAAGGAUCAAUAUGUAGUGUAUUUGUCCAAGACUAGAAACUCUUCACAAUAGUUCUCAUUCAUUUCAAGUGCAUCAUAAAAAAUCUUAUGCUAUAUAGUAAAUACCCUCUCUUCUCAACACAAGAAAAAAUCCUUCCCAGUAAAAUCCAAAUGCAAAAUACUGCCCCAUCUGUGUGAACUUGUUUCACAGACCAAAAUCGGGUAGAAAGGCAAAAAGAGAGCAGUAAUGGGUGAGAAUGAGAAAGAGAUGUAAAUUUUGAUAAAGGGUUGAAAAAAGAGUCACAGUAUGAAGGCCCCUUUUCAUCCCGAAUCAGGUUGGGUUGUUAUCCGUGCUUAGUUCGAGCAAGUCAUCAUCAUAAGAAACAGGUAUCCUUACUCUGUCAUGAACAGAGCUACGUUUCGCUUCUCCUGAUGGUUCAGGUUGAUUUUGCCUUUGUAAUGCAGAAAAGGGUUUCUCAGAAACAUUGCCCUGAGGCCUGCUACCAAAUGUAGAUGCCUCCUCCCCUAAAGAAGAAUUCUCUUUCCUUUGCAGAGGUGGCCUGUUAACAUUUGGCUGCCUGAACUGCUUCUGCAUUGUUAUAAACAAUGACGAGAAACUAGAUAUUAGAGAGCAAAUUAUGACAUGAUGAAUAAUCUUGGUUCUGACACAAAUUCAUAAGACUUGUUUAAAAGAAAACAGCACAACUCUGACACUAACCGGGCUGCUUCUUCCUGUCCUAGAUAAUAGGAACAUGCAAAACAAACUUAUUUUCAUUCAAUACAAACACAAAUAUGUAAAGUGUUUUGACACAAAACAUAAAGGUCAAUCACAUACCUCAAACUCCUUUGCUUUUUUCAUGAUCUCUUUGUAAGCAUUUGGUUCUCGAACCUUAAUUAUGUUCCACAAUACCCCACCCCUUGUCCGAAAUCGGCUACCAUCAACAGUCUUCUGACCUCCACAGGACUGUAUAGCAUCCACCUGUGAUUUUCACAUUUGUUUAUACGAGUUUACAAGAUGUGUAUCAUAUUGAACAAAUCAGAAAAGAACACCAAAAACAAUCUCAAAUUCAUUAAAUCCUAAUGAAACAGUAGAAACAAAUAUGUUCAUAGGCCAAAGUAUUCCAAAUUUAAGCAAAAAUGCCCUCAAUGAUUGAUCCUGCAAAUGCAGAUAUCCUGGAGAGCUGAAACGAGUUAUAUGCUCAGUUAAAUACAACCUUCAGUCUAGUGUGUUUCACCUACAUUUUGCUAAUCUAUCUAACUAAAUCCUGACCCUCCUGGUCUUAAGGAAAAUGCUUGAUGGUACUAGCAUGUUUAAACCAAAAUAUUAUUUUUUAUUCACCAAUUUUUCCCUAAUAUUUGAGCCAUUCAGCUAUAUAGAAGAAACUAUACAGAGAAUUCUACAACUAUUUUGUGAAACAAAGAUUCAGGCCAUAUGAAAUUUAUAUAGCCCUCAAUAAAGUAACAUUAUGCGUAUUUAGAGAGAUCCAAUUUUGGCUGACUUUGUUGGCUGCUCCAUUUAGGAGAGCAAGAUGACGAGAAGCAAUAAAUAUCGACCUUCAAAAGAAUCAAAUAAUUGAAGUGGUUCAUCAGCCAGGAACAUCAAAAGCUCAGGCAGAGGUUUGAAAUGAUCUCUGAUAAAAUCUGCAAUGUUAGAUACAGCGUUGUACACAUCAGACAUUAUGAAUGGUUGUAUGGCGCUAUGAAGAAUGGAUAUAUUCAGCUAACAACAGGCAAAUAAAACUACAACUCUGAUCAAGGGAAAAUAUUAAAAAAAAAACUAUUUUAAAAACAUUGUUAUGCACAUUCAUGCAAGAGAUGAAACAAAGAGAGAAGCCAAGAAUAGGAAUAUCUUAUGAUGCACAAAUGCGAUAUCAGAUAACUCCAGUAUUCGAUACAGCGAUCCAAUCAUUCUAAAAUUAAUAGGAUACACAACUAAAAAUGCAUAAGUGCAGUCAUGCAAAUCUAAAUUACAUGCAUAAAUUUUGGAAAUGCUAUAAUAAUAAUAAAAAUUAUAAAUAAUUUUCGUCAUAAAUUAAUCUCUACUAUUUACAUACAAGAAUAGUGCUAUUGAUCAUAUUUGUAUCUUCAAACCAUUCAUAAAGGAACAACUUUCACAUUUGAUUUAUCAAGGGACAACCUUCCUAUAUUACAUAAAUAUGCUUCAUGUAGUUGUAUUGGAUUACAUAAAAUGCUUUAAAGAUUUAACACUUUACAGUUACAUAUUGAUUAAAAGCAUAGCGAUAUAAGAUGGGUGAAGCAAAUAGAAGUAUUAUAGAUACUUUAUUGACACAAACUGGUGCAGUAUUCAAGAAUAUUGGAUAUGUGAAACUAUUUGAAUUGUUCUUACACUUGCAUUUCUUUUAAAAUGUAUUCAUAUAAUUCAAACCACCAUAUCCAUAAUCCAAUUAUUACGAGCAACAAACACAACUAAAAGAACAGAAAGUGUUUAGUCGAACAAUUCAGAAGUAAGUCCAGACACGUAGUAAGUCAAGAUCCAUAGUAAGUCAAGAAACGUAAGUAAGGGGAACUCAGCACAUUCAAGCACCAACCGAAAUUUCAUUAGAUGUUCUUAAAUUGUUUUCCAACCUCUAAACGACCAUGAUAUUUCACUCAAAUGAAUAGAUUAACAGACACAGAAAAAGACCUUUCAACAUGAAAGCAACAUUUCAGUGAGGGUUCCAAUACCUCACUGAUGAGAUCACUCAAUGAAGAAACUCCAAGGCAAGCAACAGCUGUAUAUACCAUGUAUGACUUUUUCUCUUUCAGCCGCCGACAUACAUCUAUCACAAACCUGAUAGAAGAAAUAAAUUUAUCAGAAACUGAAAAAUUCAUCAGUAAAUAAUUUAGGAUAAGGAUUAAGGAUUGGUGAGCAGUGGUACAACGAUGAGGAAGCUGUCUUGUUACCAGACAUCACAUAUUAAUAGUUUAAAACCCGAAAAAAACCUCACAACUUGCAAGGUUCCUGUCUUUUCCCAUUAGUUGGGAGACUGCUGUACUGGACCAGUCAUUAGAUUAAGUCAAGCUGUACACAUGCUACAGAUUCUACUGAGUGGGUUGGUAUUUGUAUUUGGUACGUCUUGUGCUCAUAGAUACUCCUAAAGACUAAAGUCAAAUGCUAAAAGUUUGGCCAACUUGAUUCCUAAAAGGAUAACUAGAACUUGAAAACCAAAGGAAUGAUGGGAAGUGUAUGGUGAUGCUGUGUCCUAACUUCAAACUAUAGUACUGAAAUUACUUUCACAACCACAUUCUUUUUCUAAGAAUUCAAUUAAUUAUGUUAUAAAUUGUGGUGCUUAUUUGAAAAAACCAUCUAAUAUCAAAGGAAUGAUGGGAUAUGUCGGGUGCUGCAUAACUUCAAUCUACUGUGUUGACAUUAUUUUCACAGACUUAAUUACGUAAUAGGUUGUAGUGCUUAUUUGAAAAAUCCACUAUCAUUAUCUAUUAUCAUCAAUACAAUUUGGUCAUAUAAUCUUCCUAUUAAAAUUCUUUUUUAUUGUAUUACAAGUAGAACUAUUAUUACCAUCAUAACUUUCUUUUUCUAUUUGAGUAUUUAACACAAUUAUAUAAUCAGACUUAUAUUCAAUAUCCAACAUCACUAAUUGAGUUAGAAAACAAUCAAGUACAGACAGGUCGCAAUCAUACAAACAGACCCUUACAAAAUGAAAAGAAAUAAACAAUUUUGGUUACGAAACUCGAAAGCUUUUCCCUCAAUUCACAAAAAAUACUACUGUAAUUCUUGUUCAAAUAAAACUAAUUUUUCGAAAUCCACUUGCAAAACAUCAUUUUCAAGCACAUAGAACAUCAUUUUCACCAGAAAAAAUGUCAGGUAAAUGAAGUGGUGUCGUGAACGUAAAGUAGACACCUUUUUCUCAUACUCUCUGUCAACAGCAAAAACAAAAACGAAAACCCAUGAAAAGAAACAAGAGGGUAACAAUUAUAACCUGUUAAUAUCAACGGCACCGUUUAUUCCUGAACCUUUUCUUCUGUUUCUCUUGUUUUUACGCCUUCGGUUCUUACUCUGCGGUUUCGUGUUAUCAGCUUCCACGACACCGUUUUGUCCAGAAACAUUUCGUGAAUCAUCUUGUUCCUGUUUCUGCUCCUGCUCCACUAAUUCCCCUUCUUCAACGUCGACCAUUUCAACAUCGUUCAAAAUUUCCUCUUCGAAAAUCGCAUCCAGAAUGUUCUCUCCAUUCUCCAUUUCAAAACACUCAAGACAACUCCACUAAUCGAAAACCUCAACGGAUCAAAUGAAAAGUUUCUCAGUUUAUAUAUUUCACUGCUUCAGUUUCAUCACGCUCCGUUUAAUAUCGCCGACUUAACUUAAACUCCAAAUUUAGGGUAAUUAAUUACGAGUGCCGCAUAAUGCUUGGCGUUAAUUAUAUUUGCUAUGUUAUAUAAACUUUAAAAAACGGAAUAUAGGAGGAAAAACUUAGCGUUUAAAUUUGAUUUUUAUACAUGGUUUGGUUAGUGCGAAAUUUUUCUACAUAAAAUUUGGUUGAAUUGUACUAUCUACUUAAAUGCUGAUGAAUUAUGAAAUUUAAUUCAUAUUUUUAAGUUUUAAUAAAAACAAUAUUUAUUUUGGUUUCAAAUAUAGUUUAGAUGGUAUUUUUAAUAAUAUAAUGUAAUGAUUUAGAUAGUGUUAAUUAUUAAAAUAAAACAAAAUUUAAUAAUUUAGAGAUCAUAUUAUAUUUAAGCUUUCAUUAUGUUAGCAUGUUACAUUAUAAGGUGUGAUGAUAUAUCCAAUUCUUGCUUCUAUAUGAAAGUUACUAUAUAUACACAAACUCAAUUCUUAGAAUACAUACUAAUAAUUUAAACAUGGCUUGUGGCUUGUGAUAUAAAUACAAAAGAGCUAUAAACUUUUUGUAAUAGUUAAUUUCAAAUAUGCAUUUAAAAUUGUUUUUUAGUUGUGAGUUAAAUUCUAAAAAAUAUAUAUUUAAUUAUUAAAAUAUGUUUUUGAAGCCUGAAUAAAAAAAAAACGUAUAUAUAUAUAUAUAUAUAUAUAUAUAUAUAUAUAUAUAUAUAUAUUCAAAUAAAUGUAAAAAUAUUUGCUUUCUUUAAUAAUGGUUUAGGAUUUAAUUAAGAUUUUUCUUUUAGUGAAAUUACUUUAAAUGUAUAACACAUUAUAUUAAGAAGAAAAUACAGUCAUUUGAAUUUGGGGUGAGUUGGAAUCAAUUUAAUGAUAGAUUUCUUAUAUAUCUUAAUUUUUUAAUGAAAUUCAUUAAAAAAAUCACUAUUGUUUUCCUAUAUAAAUAAGUUGUUGAUGAAAUAAACUCUUCACAUAGAUUCUUUUGUCCAAACAUCUCAUUGUUGUCUUCAAAUAGACAAGAUGAAGAAUAGUCAAUUAUGUCAAUUAUGGCUUCAACUCUUAUUGUUCACACAUUGCAUAAGGUGGAGAUUUUUUUUGGAUAAGGAUCAAAUGGGGUUUGAAGAAAGGAUUCUAUUUGGCAGAAUUUUUAUGGUAGGUGAUGGACUCAUAGUUGCAAGUGGAUUUUUGUCUCCUACACAUACCUAUAUGUUGCUACUUACCACCAUUCUUGUCCACUUCCUCCAAUACAAAUAAAAAGUAUGAUGAAUGACAUCUUUUACUAUUUGAAAAAUUUUGUUGAUAUUUUAAAAUGUAAUCAUUUAGAUGAAUUUUAAAAAGGGUUUAUAUAUAGAGUCUUAAUCAUGAAAGAAUUUUAAAAAAUAAUCUUCUAGAAAAAUGACAACCAUGUAUUUAGUGAAAGUAAUGUUUUAAAAUAUUGGAAAAGAGAGAUUUUCACGCAAUCAUGAUCAAUUGUUUGUAGAAGAUGGUUCUUAGUUUCUUGUUUUGGUGAGAGUGCAAGCCUUUCUGCCAAAGCAAUGCUUUCUUGAGCAAUUUGAAUACAAAUAAUACAACAAAUCCUUAAUUUUAAGGUAUUUUGUAAUAGGUUUGAUUGGUGCUAUGCUAUUUUCUAAGACAAGCCAAGAUGGUCCCUCCAUCGCAUGGGAUCUAUUUCUCAUUUCUUUUAAUAAUACUAAGAAUAUUUAAUAAUAAUAAUAUGUUAGUGUAGAUGUAUUUUUUGCAAUUGACAUAAUAUCAAAUAAAGCAAGCACCAAAGUAACAUAAUUUCCUUUUGCGCCUUUCAAUAGAUUUAAAUAAAAUAAAGCAUAUGAAAGAAAACACACAAAAAUUACAUCACUUGGAGUGAAAUUCCUUGUAAUUACUUAAGGGUGUAGUUAGCAAAUAAACAAAAUAUUUUGCUCAAGAUAUAAUAAGGAAAGAAAAAAAACAUUUACUUCAUAUACGCAAACCCAUGAGUCCAAUUCUAAAAGAAAACAUUGGCCCAACUCCUUUACAAAAUAAACAUCACCCUUAAUUUUUUUUUUCUCUCAAAAUAUAAAAGCCUAAAAUUUCACUUUCUUACACUAAGAAGUAACUUUUUGUUUUGUUAAAAAUUAAUUAUUAAUAAAUAAAUACUACAACCUAAUAAUACCCUUCUAAAUAAUUAAAUAAUAAUAUCAAUACUGGUGGGAUCAUCUACAUCAGUCUAAUACUUGUCUUCUUUUUAUUAAUUACAUAAAAAAAAUAGAAUAAACACCACUUAACGCAACUAAUUUAACGAGUUAGACAGAAUUGGAAUUAAUGGACUAAACACAAAUGGAUUUAAUUGCCAGACACAACUAAACUUGACUAGAAAAAGUAGAUAGAAUUUUAAACGGAAUGAACAGUGUAUUUUACAGUUAGCCAGUCUAUUAAAAGACCAUUAAUUAAGCAUAUGAAUGUGUUAAUAAUAACAUAUUAAAUUACUUUUCAUCCCAGAUAAUUUCAUAUAAUAAAUAAUUUAACUUUUCCAUGUUUAAAUAAUUAAAUUAUCAGCUUUAACAAAUCUUAUUAAAGCAAACAAAAUGGGAAAAAAGGAACUAAACCUUAAGAAAUUUAAUUAUGACUCAAUCAAACGAAAAAGCAAUUAUGUGAUAUUCAUCAAAACCUAAUUGAUGAAGUUAGCAUCAUCUAUGUAUAAGGAUAAUAAAUCAAAUAAUGUAGUGUUUAUAAAAUAACCCAGUGGGUAUGUUGUUUGUUUGAUAUUGACAUUGACAUUGAAAUCAAUGUCCAAUCAAAAGAGACCCUUGAAUAUGAAAAUGCUAUUAUGGAAAAGAUUCCACAUACAGAUAAGUAUCUACUGAAUGCAAAAACUGUUGAAGGCAACAGUGAUGCAUUCCAAAUGAAUUAUUCUGUAUCUUUAUAUUUUUUUUAUGAGAUAUAUUUUUUUUUAUUCCAAGAGUUUUAUUAUUAUGUUACAAAUUAAUAAAUUGUAUAAUUAGCUUUUCUUUUAAAUUGGAAAGAUCUAAUUUAGACUCUGGUUUAGGGUUAAUGGCUUGACUGAUUUAUAUAAAUCAUUAUAGGUAAACAAAAUAUUAUUAAAUAUUACUAUGUUAAAAAAUUAAAUGAAAAUGAAAUUUAUAAAAUUGAAAUCUUAGAUAUACAAAACUUGGAGUGAAAAUUUGUAAAAAAGAGUAAAACAAAAGUCUUAACAUAAAGCUAUCAAUAAUUCAGUUAUAGGAAUUUUGUCCUUUAGAAAAUAAAAAUGUUUAUCGGAGGCAGAAAGAAGCAUGAAUUGAGAGUAACAGGCCCACAUAUUAUUCUGGUUAUGAUUCCAGGCCCAAGAUUCUAUAAAAAGAAUCUCGCAACAUUUUUAUUUUUUAAUUUUAAAUUUUACAUAUAUUCAAUUUUCUUAACAACUUACGUUGAUAAUAGUGAGGAAUAAGUGAAGUGCCAUCGAUGGCGUAAGGGAAAAAGGCAAGGUGGGUCCUACGGUGAAGCUUCCCUUGUGAAUAUAACCAAAAAUAAGGAAGGUAUUCAAUUCGUCCCCCGCACGCUACCUGUAACCCAACCUUCCCAAUUCGCAAUUAUUAUUUAUCUAUAUAAUCCCUCCUUCUCUGUUCAAACUCCCAAAUCACAGCUACUUACCUCACUCUUUCUCUCUUUGCUCUUCCAAUGGCCACCACCACCACUUCUCUUUCCACGCUCUUCCUUCUCUUCCUCGCAACCGUCGCUCUUGUUGCCGCUCGCCGUGACCUCGUCGGAGACUUCCUCCGGCUGCCGUCUGAUUCCGGUAACGAUGAUAACGUCAAGGGGACGCGCUGGGCCAUCCUCUUCGCCGGUUCGAACGGCUAUUGGAACUACAGACAUCAGGUCCAUCUCUUUUUUACUUGAUUCGACUAGUUUUGAUGCUUUUCUAUUUUCGUUUUAUCAGAAAUUAUUUCAGCCGUUCGAUUGUGAAUCUUUCCACAGAACAUUUUAGAUUCUAUGCUUCAGAGAGUGUACACCGUCCGAUUCAGGACAAAUGAAUCUCUGAUCCUUACCGGUUUCAAAUGACCUACUGAAUAAAUAGACGUGACAACUUGCUACUGACGUUCCAACUGACUCUUUAGAUAUCAGUUUUAAUAUUCAAACAAACUUUCAGUUUAAUUAAACAAUUUAUUUUUUUCAAAAUUCAGUAAGAAUAAAAAUAUUCGGUAAAUUUUAAUUUAAUUUUCUAAUUUAAAUUUAAACGAAGAUAUAUAUGUAUGUAUGAAUUGCAAAUACUGUUAACAAAUCCGAACUAAUAUACUAUGAUAUAGUUUAUGUCUCUUGUAAUAAAAUUUCAGUCGUUUAUGAUGACGUAAUAUGAACAAAAUUUAAAUAUCUGAUUUUUGGAAUAUUUUUAAUCUUAACAAAACGUAAUAAAUCAACUUUUAAAUUUGUAAAAAAAUAAAUGUUGAUAAAAUAUUUUAAGAUAUGUGGUAUGAGAAAAUCUGCUUGAAAUCUCGUAUUAAAACAUAGUAAAGUAAAAUAUCAUAUUAAGUCAAUAAAGUACAGAAAAAUUAAAAUGAUAUUUUGAAUGACUAAAUUGAAGAAUUUUAAAGUAUAAAUAUUCUGUCAAAUAAUUAAGAACUAAAUAAGUAAUUAAACCUUAUUAUUGCUAUUGUUAUAAAUAGUUGCGUUAAUAAUUUCAAGUUGCCUCUUGUAUGUGGUAGUUGAACGAAGGGAAAUCCUCGCAUGUUUGUGUUUUGAGUAACUUUGCUUUGCCAAGUACUUCUUGUGUUCUUGCUAACAUCUUAUUAUAAUCAGCAAUUCUCUUGCAUGACAUAAUACCAACCUAAACUGUUGACUUUUAGUUUAAAAUUAAAAUAUAGAGAAUAAUUGCACACUUGGAGUGUCCUUCAAUUAUUGAAAAGUUGCAUUUAUCUCCUGUACUUUAAUAUUAAAAACAUACAGAUAUGUAUCUUAUUCUUAGGAGAGUCACUCAGAUGGAGGUUUUCUUUAUCAAAAAGGGUGUGACUAGGAUAGCAAUAACUCUGAGGGAGGCAGGGCAUUAAAACAGAAACGCUGAUAAUCCACUCUAAUUUUUUUUUUUUUACUAAAAUACAUCCGAAUUUGAUUUCUCAUAAAUUUAUUUUUUAACUCAUUAUUGUAUUUUAUUAUUUAUGUAUGAUGAAAUAAUUAAUAUUUUUUUAAUGUGAUUUGAUGUGUCUUGUAUUUCUGUCUGUUUACAUUCUCACUCAACAGCAACCACCUCUUUGGUGAACCAACACGACGUAAUAACUUGUGCGUAUUUUUUUUUUCUUUAAGACAUUAUUAUAAAUAUAUGUUUUAUGUAUUAUGGUUUUAAACGUUUUGUUUUUAUGCUGUCAUUACUUUCCUUUAAGAAAUUCAAUUAAUGAUAUUUACAUAUUUAAUAAGAUUCACGUGAAUUUCAUCCAAAAGAGUGAAUCAGAAAAAUAAAACAUGAUUAACAUUUUGAUACUAGUAAAAUAUAUUAUUGAUACCGUAGACAGCACUCAAUCUCAAAUUAGUGCCGUUUACGAAAGUGACUGCAAGUUAGUCUCAAUGCAAAAUCAUUUACAAUGUUAUCUCUGAAAAAAUUGAAAAUUAUUGACACGUUCAAACACAAAUUAUGAUACCGCUGUUAAUUAUAUGUUAAGUUUGGUCCCUGUAGUCAAUAUUCUAUCAUUCUGUGAUAUACAAGUCAUCAUGCUGAAAAAGUGUUUUGAAUCAUCUUCUAUGUCUUAAUUGUGAUUUUUUGUCAUCUUAAUUGCAAUCUUUAUGAUUGGAUCGUAAUGAUUUGAACGGAGUUUAUAAAAAUAGACUAACAUAGGGAAAAUGAUUUAAACAGAUAAAACUUAGUCGGCUCUCAUCUUAAAAGGAUACAAAACUUUCAUCUUUAAACCCGUUUCCUGUUUCGAUGAUAUGCACACGGGAAAAAAUUCUCUGGACUCCCUUAAUUUAACACAAUUUUCUGUAUUGCAUAAUUAUUUAGUUUUAAUGUAGAGUUUUUCUUGUUGCAUCAGGCCGAUAUUUGUCAUGCCUAUCAAAUACUGAGGAAAGGUGGCCUGAAAGAAGAAAAUAUCAUUGUUUUUAUGUAUGAUGACAUUGCAUUCAAUUGGGACAAUCCAAGGCCUGGAGUCAUCAUUAACAAACCAGACGGGGAUGAUGUUUAUGAAGGAGUUCCAAAGGUAUUUAUGUUAGGCUUUUCACUAUCCAAUAUCUUCUUGCUAUUUCUAGUUUGAUAGGGUCUAAUAUGUGGAUUGUUUUUUAUGGUAGGAUUACACUGGCGAAGAUGCUACUGCUCAUAACUUUUAUUCUGCUUUACUUGGAGAUAAGUCGGCGCUUACCGGUGGCAGUGGGAAGGUUGUGAACAGUGGGCCCGAUGAUCGCAUAUUUAUAUUCUACUCUGAUCAUGGUGGUCCAGGGGUUCUCGGUUAGUAGCUCUAAGUUCUCUCACAGAAAAUUUUAAUUACAGUCAAGGAUUGUGUUGGUUGUAUAUAUGGGUUUCAGCAUGGUAUAGGCCAGGAUUGAGGUUAUUACUUUUGUUGUUUGGUUGAUUUUGUGUGUAGAUUUAUUUGAUUAUGCCUGUGUAGAACGAAACAUCUUAGUAUUUCAGUGUCAAGUAUGAUUUUCCCGAAGUGAUGUUUGUGUUCUGUGGGUGAUGGAUACGACAACUUAGUAAAGUGAAAGUUGCAAACAGAUAAAUGAUGUAUCUGAAUAGAAUGAAAUAUUUCAAAAUGUUUUUGAAAUUUUUUUUAUCUCUAUUAUUUUUUUCUUAGUAAUGAUGUAUUUUCAGUUAGAAAAACAUCAUAGCUGGACGAUAUCACAAAUUUGUGAAUUGAUUACAUUACCCUAGGAUCCGAUUGUCUAUUCAUCAAAUGGUAUAUUCAUUCAUCAUGUCUAAUACAACCUCUGUUCAUAAUUUCUGACGGAGACAUUUCAAAGUGUGCUGCAAUGAAAAUCAUUCACUGUGAUUUUGUAAUCCUAGUUUUCCGUUAGAUAAUAUUUUUCAUCCUUUUCUGAUCAGAAAAAUAUUGUCAUCCUUUUUCUAGAGACUAGUAUAUGUCCCAUGAUUCAGUAGAUUGAACGGCAUCUCUGUAUACCUCUUUUGAAUUCUUUUUUAAUACGUGUGGGUAACAUGAAGGUUAAAUCACAGUUACCAGAGCAAAAGGAAUAUGGAAAAAGGAAAAAAAAAAAGGGAGACAGGGGUGGAAUACAUGGUCUUUAGUGUUUUCGAUAUACUAUUUGUUUACAUGACAAAUUGGUUCUUCCUACUGACAAUGUUAAUAUCUGCUCCUUGCUAUUUCUUACUUCAUUUUUUUUUGGAUAUGUGAAUGGAUUUUAGGGACGCCUGCUGGUCCUUACAUAUAUGCAUCUGAUUUGGUUGAAGUAUUGAAGAAAAAGCACGCUUCUGGAACGUAUAAAAACCUAGUGAGUUUCUAAAAGUUCUCAUUUUUUAAAAUUUGGAUAUCAUUGCUGUUUAGGUAAAUAAUCCCCCUCCCCCUUUCAAAAAGCUGUCACUGGGGGCUUUGGCUAAGAACAUAGUAAGAUGUUUUGAACACAAAAUAAGCUAAUUUGAACGCACUAAGUCCUUUGAUUAUACAAUGGUGGUGCAGGUAUUUUAUUUGGAGGCAUGUGAAGCUGGAAGUAUUUUUGAAGGUCUUCUUCCUGAAGAUAUCAAUAUUUAUGCAACAACGGCUUCGAAUGCCGAAGAAAGUAGUUGGGGAACAUAUUGUCCUGGGGAAUAUCCUAGUCCUCCCCCAGAAUAUUCAACCUGCUUGGGUGACCUGUACAGUGUUGCUUGGAUGGAAGACAGGUAUGUACAUCAUAGGCAAAAACAAUUAGAUCAUAAAUGAUAUCAAUUAUCAUGCAAUACUUAUAUGCUCAUGACUUAUGUUUUCACAAUGGAGUUGUUAAUGCAUGUGACUAUCGUAUUGUGUGUUUGUUCUUGGAGAUGCCUUUUAUAAUAAAGUUGUUUUUAUUUAUUUUUGCACUUGCUCUGUUUUUGCUGUUAGAUCAGAAGAACUGUACUUUAUUUAAAUAAUUACGUAAAUUGCAUGGGAUUAAUUUUAUUUUUCUUUACUUGUGAGCAGUGAUAGACACAAUUUGCGAACAGAAUCUUUACACCAACAAUAUAAAGUGGUGAGUUCUUGUUUUUAAAUUUUUUAAAUUAAAUGUUAUAAAUAUAAGAAUAUAAUUCAAUACCUUGAUAUUCAUUGCUCAGUUACAAGUGAGAUGUGGUAUGAGUUGUAACUGAGGCUUUAUUUAUCCUGCCUUUACAGGUUAAGGAUAGGACUCUAUCUGGAGGUUGGUAUGGCUCUCACGUGAUGCAGUAUGGUGAUGUAGAGUUUAGCAAGGAUACUCUCUUCCUGUAUUUGGGUACAGAUCCUGCAAAUGAUAAUUUGACUUUUGUGGAUGAAAACUCCUUAUGGUCAUCUUCAACAGCAGUCAACCAAAGGGAUGCUGAUCUCGUCCAUUUUUGGCAUAAGGUAUCUUGUUUGUGCAAUAUUCAUUCUUUUGGUUAUGAAUUAAUUGCUUGAUCAUGUUCUCACCGGUGAAAACCAAUAAACAUGUCAUAUGCUGUUAAUGGGAACAAAACAUAUUGUUUGCUUAAACCAAUACUCAGUGUUGAGAUAAGUGGGUGCGUCAAUGCACGGGAUAUCAUAACCAUAUAUUUGAAGUACUAGUAGAACUGAACUAGCCAGAUAUUCAUACGAGGAAAUGAUCUAAAACCGAUAGAUCUGUAAAGUUUUGUGCAUCUUAUGCCUUGGUGCUACUCGCCAGUAGUAACCCUUUUUUUUCCAGGAAUGUUUUGCACUAAACCACUAGAAGAUAAUGGUUGUAAUCUGAUGACACAUUUUAUUUUGUGGGUGAUAAAGUUUUGCUUAUUGUAUUUUAUCUUAAUUUCAUCUACACUGUUUUUUGCCAGUUCCGCAAAGCUCCGGAGGGUUCUCCUAAGAAAAAUGAAGCUCGGAAACAAGUUCUGGAAGUAAUGUCUCACAGAAUGCAUAUAGACGACAGUGUGAAACUUGUUGGAAAGCUUUUAUUUGGAUUUGAAAAGGCUCCUGAAGUACUGAAUGCUGUUAGACCGGCUGGAUCGGCACUUGUUGAUGACUGGGCCUGCCUGAAAACCAUGGUAUCAUUUUUUUUAUGAGGCCAAUAUGAUAGAGAGAUUUUGUCAUAAAUAAGUAUAGUGUAACAGAAUUAGAUUUUCAUUACUUUUUAGCUUGAACCUUGAAGCAAUGAUGUUUGUGAUCUCUGAAAAUGAACAGAGUCGGGUUUCUUUGGUUCUUCACUUUGGUUUAAGAGAAAAUAAUGGUCAUCUUAACUUAUUUUCAAUGCAGGUAAGGACUUUUGAGACACAUUGCGGAUCCUUGUCUCAGUAUGGGAUGAAACACAUGAGGUCCUUUGCAAACAUCUGCAAUGUAGGAAUAAAGAAAGAGCAAAUGGCUGAAGCCUCAGCACAAGCUUGUGUCACUGUUCCUGCCAGUUCCUGGAGUUCUCUGCAAAGAGGUUUCAGUGCAUAAUUCCUGUAAUGUUCACCAGUAAAGAUAAAAGCAUGAUUAUUGUUACAUUAUGUUAUGUGGUUGUACAUACAUAUCUUGUCCCGCCUCUGUAAAUGCAAUUGGGACACUACUAGGAGUUCCAUAUAUUUUAGUUUGGCAUAUAUUGCUUGUGUUUGGAAACCUGUUGAGAAUGGAUGAAUCACAUCACAAACGUGACAAAUCACAUUUGAAACGCAAAUCCAAACACGUAAUGCAACUCCCUUUGUAUAAACCCAUCCAUUUAUGGCAUUAGGAGGAUGAAGCGCCAGUUGCUUUGUAUGCAAACACAGGGUUAUGAUCUGUUUCGAUUCAAUAGGUAACAGCCAGAUCGGGUUUUCCCUGUCCAACAUUUUGUAUAAUUAUUCUCUGGUACAACAUUUGAUGUAAAAAUUACUGUUUAAUAUUAAUGGGGACAUUAUAUUUCUCCUUUAUGAUAUUUGGACUCAACUAUACUAUACUAUUGUCUCUUGUUUUUACUUACUUUUCCAGUCUUACAAAGUUACUAUUUAGUAAAAACUCAAAUAAUUUACAACAUUAAUUUCACAAUCUAAUCUAGAAAGUUUAGCUAGAACUUGGUUUCAUAGAUCACGACUAGCUUCUUGUGAUUAAAACUAGGUAAAUAAUAUAAUGAUACUCACAUAUAAAUAAAUUAAUAUUUCGUGCCAUUAAAUAUCGAAAACGACCUUUAAAUAGUACGGUAGCUAUUACCGAACAUGGGAAUAGCUUAAACAAUUUUACCCAACCUUUUAUCUCCGUCAACUUUAAUCUCUUUCGUAUUUUUCAAUUAUCCUGAUAUCAUAAUUUUUUUUUAAGUUAUCUUCAUCAUCUUACAUUUAAUUAGUGCUGGCAUAAUUCAACAAAUUGUACUAAACUAUAGUUAUCAAUACUAUAAUAUAUUUAAAAAAACUAAACUAUUUUUUACUAAAAACUAAUUAAUUGUUUUAUAGUUCAGUUUAAGAAAAUUGAACUUUUUAUAGUUUGAGUUUAGUUAAUUGAUGAACUGUUUCUUUUUUUAUAUUUUUAUUCAAUUGCUUUUCGGGAAAACUUAUCUACUCUUUCUUAAAAAUGAAUCACACUUUUCUCAAUGUAUUAUUUGCUAUCUAAAAUUUGUCUUUUAAACCUACAAUUUCUUGCUCUUAUAUGAUCAUGCAUUUUGUAUGCUUUUUGACUCAAUGAUUUCAAAUAUUCUCAUUCUGAAUGAUAGAAUCUAUAAUGGGGUCACAUGAAAUAGUGUAAAUAUUGUUUCUUUGAGGGUGUUUUAUACUCUAAGCAUUUCUUAUAUCAGACCAUUAUCUGCAUAAAUUUAAUUCCUUGUUGCUGAUAUUAACUCCAUGUUGUUGAUGCUGAUAUUUCUAAUAUUAAUUAAGCAAUUAAUAUGUUAUAAAAGUAUAAAAUCUAAGACUUGAUUUUUUUCUAUGAAAGAAGAUCAAGAAUUUAUGGUACAGAGGACAACAGUUUUUGCUAAUGCUUUAUUUAUCCCUUUGUAAUGCAUUAAUUAUCUCUCUGCCCCUAAUAAAAAUAAUUCAUUAUAUUUGUUAUAUUUUUUCUUUAUGUACUGCAUAAUUUAUUGGAUAAAGAUACUUAGACAACAUUUUCUUGACAACAUUUGAACAUCAUCAUACGUGUCAUUGUGUGAUUGGUCCAUGGUGGUGUCAUUGUGUCAUUUGGACCAGUCACACAAUGACACGUAUGAUGAUGUUCAAAUGUUGUCAAAAAAAUGUUGUCUAUGUAUUAUUACCCUAAUUUAUUCACAUCACAACACAAACAGUUUGAUCUUGGAGUUUGGUGUAAUAAUUUGAUCUUGGAAAGAAAUUGGAUCAGUUUAGUAAACUGCACUAUAACUCAACUAGAAAAUAGUUCAGUUAAAUUUUUCUGAACUAUUUUUUAGUUCAAUUUAAUUUACACAAACUAUUUUAUAGUUAACUAUAAAUUUUUGUAAUUUUUGUAAUAUAGUACAGUUUGGUAUACUUUGUUCAACCCUACAUUUAAUUAUAUAUUUCUUUUUAUUUUAUAAUAUCUAAACGAUAUUUCCCAAAAUAAUGGUAUACGUAAUUUUAUUUACCUUAUAAAUUAAGAAUCAUUAUAACUCACUAAAUAAAUUAUUUUUUAUGAAAUAUAUCGAUUUAACAUUUCAGAGAGAUUUAACUGUUACAUAUAAUAUGUCCCAUUUUAUAUUUUAACACGUAGUAUAAAAUAUACUUCAUCUUCUCUUCAUUCACCAAUAAGCACUCAUGCCCCUUAUAAGAAAUCUCUCAAAUAUCACAUUUAAACCUUUUUUCUCUUGGGAAGUAAAAUAAAUUAAAUGCUCACACGUGACCCACCAAAUUUUUCUUCAAAAGACAAAAACGCAGGUCAUGUUUUACUCAAAAUCCAUUGAUAAUUCCAAAUAAGUAAACGAGAAAACAAAAAGCCAAUAUUUUUACAAAAUCCAUCAACAUCCCAAACUCUUCAAUCCUGCAAUCUGGAUCAACCCACAAGGUAAAUUUCAUAAAGCCACACUCCCCUAAACCUAUAUUAUCUGUUUAUUUUUCUUCCAAUUCAUGCACUUUUGGAUUCCCUAUUUAUAAUGUUUAAAAUUCUAAGGUCAGUAAAGGUUUAAAAAACAAACAUAGAGCAUUGAUUACUCAUGGUUGGUGCUUUUUUUCUUCUUAAUUUAUCUUAUUUAGGAAUGGCUAUGAGGAGCAAGGAAAUUAUCUCAGCAGACAGGGAUAUGUACGAUAUGAGAGAGACUCAUAACAAUAAUAAUAACAAGAAUGGUAUUAUUAAUGGACCAGUCUUGGAAAAGGAAGAGGCAGCAAUUUGGGUACCCAAGUUCAUGAUUGGUUUGACCAACAAGGAGAAGGAGGAAGAUUUUUUAGUCUUCAAAGGUACAAAACUUCCUCCAAGACCCAAAAGGAGGGCUAAAUUCAUGCAACGCAAUAUCAAUGUAAGCCUUCACCAUUAACUCUUUUAUUUUACAUUUUCCACCACUUUAAUUUAAUUUCCUACUUCUUUUAACAUAGGAUUUCAUCAUAAUUACCAGAAGUGCAAAAAUAAAUAUAUUUUUUUUCUCAAAUAAACAACCUUAUAUGACAUGAUUAAUAUUUACAUCUUUAAUUAUUAUUAUUAUAAGUAAAAUUAAUAAUAAUAAUAAUAAUUUUAUAAUUUGCAUUAUCUUUCGCUUAAUUUAAACAAUUUCGUUUUCUCAGUGUUUACUCUCUUUGUCUCUCUUUUUUUUUUUUUUUAUUCCGUAACUUCCGUCAUCUGAUCCAAACCAUUCAUUCCAAUUAGAAAUAUUUAAAUCUAAUUUAUUAGCGUAAAUAAACAAAGAAAAGCUUCCAUCACGUGACAUUAAUUAAGGAUUUGAAUGAAACGUUGUUGUAUGAGUUGUCAUGACAAUUAGAAAAAAGCUGAAAAAGUUAUUGUAUGACAAAAAUAAUAGUUAAUACAGUUUUUAAGUAACCAUAUUAUAUAUAUAACGUUAAAAUGUUUUCUCUAACGCCUAUUUAAUUUCUAGAGAAAGAUAUUUAAAUACUUAAUUUUGGUAUAAUAAACAUUUUAAAAUUCAACUACUUCUCUCGAAGAUGUUAAACGGGUAUCCUUAUUCACGAUAAUAAUAUUUGCUGGGUCUAUAUUAAAACAUUUUUAACGUUAUUUAAAGGUUUUCAUUUAGUUAUAUGUUAUUUGCACUUUAAUAUCAAAAUAUUUAUUAUUAUAAAAUAUUUUUUUAAAACAAAAUAUACAAUUUUAAUAUUAUUUUUAUGGCUAAAAGAUUAUUCAAAACGAAAAGGUCCUAAAUUUAUUAUAAUAUCAACAUACUUCAAUAUAUUGAGUUUAUAUAACUUAGGUAUUAUACUUAUUACUUUAAACAUAACUCUUGCAAUAUAAAUGUUCUAAAUGAUUAACAUAAGCUUGAAGCAUGUUUCUACAAGCAUAAUAAAACUAAAAAUAUCCAAUCGUAGAUUGAUUAACUUUAAAAAUCAAACUUUUCCAUAUUCUUUCAAAUACUCGUGGAUGUGAUCUUUAUCCAAUGAAAAAAAAAUAUUAAAAAAAAAAGAGCACUAAUGUAAAAUAAUAUCAUUAUCGUAUUUAACAUUAUUAUUAUUAUUAUUAUUAUUAUUAUUAUUAUUAUUAUUAUUAUUAUUAUUAUUAUUGAGUGUGUUGCAGAUGGUAAGUCCAGGUACAAAACUAAACAAACUUUGUGUGGAACGAUAUGAAGUUAGGGAGAAGAAUAUAUCGAAAAAGGUAAGACAAAAUAAUUAUUUAAAUUUUUUCAACCACUAAAAAAAAUAUCAUUGUUAGAUACGGUGAAAAUCCGUAUAUAACCUCUAAGAAAUUAGGUUAAUGUUAUGCAGAAAGCAAGAGGGUUGAAAGCAAUGUGCAAUAUGGAAUCUGAAUCUGAAUCUGAGUAGAAAGAAGACAAUAACAAUCAAUGGAGUUGUUUCUGUGUGGUCAAAUGCUAUCAGAAAUUUUGAGAUACUGAAGCAUGGUAGAGUGAUAACAAAUUCAAAACCAAAUAUUUAUUGCUUUUUCUUUAAUCAGCCUUACUUUUUUAUUUAUUUAUUGGAUAUUUUAUUAUAAAAUACUUUUGUUUUUCUGAUUUUUUUUUUCUUUCAUGGUUAUUCUUUGUGUAUUGAUUUUCAAUUUUUUUUUAUCGAUAUGCUAACAUAACAAUAAUCUAUAUCAUUAUAUAAUUAUACAAAGAAGAUUCACAAUUUUCGUACGCAUUUUGCUUUUAAUUUUUUUUACUAUUUUAUAAGUUUUAUCCAUUAAAUGAUUUUUUUUUAAUUUAACCCUUUUUUUAAAUUAAAAUAACCAUAGUAAAAAAUUUACCUACAAAAUAAAUAAAAACUAUCUUUUAUUACAAAAGUUAUUUAUAUUUAUUUUUAUAAUUAUAAUUGUAUUAGAAAAAAAAAUUAAACAUGUGUAUAACACAUGCUUUCAUUAAUAAUAUAUAAAAAUAGGAGUUUUAUUUUGACUUGUUGUAGAAUUAUUAACAAAAUUAUUUCAUUGGAUUGUUCGUCAUCGUUUUGCUAUAAGUUUAAUCGAUCAACCAAAUUUUCGAAAAUUAAAAGGUUUUUGUAAUAAACUACAUAACAAAUAAAAAAUAAGUAACAUAAUUUGGUGACCUCAUUUUUUUUUUGUUUGAUAGUGAUAAAAUUAACUUUUUUUUUUCAAAACAAUUUAAUUACUUUUUAUUUUUUUGGUAAUUUUUUUCAAUAAUAUGUGACAGGUAAAAAUUGUUAAAGUAAAAUUGUCUAGAAGGAUUAUGGACUGUUUAGCAAUUAAUAUUUUAAAAUUUAAUUUACAAUACUAAACAAAAUGUUCUUUAUUGAGUAAAGCUUCUAAAAAAUGUAUUACUAAAAAUAAGGUUGAACAAAAUAAGAAUUUAUCAAUACAAAUCAAUUUUAAAUGAUAAUAACAAUAAUAAUAUUAUAUCGUUUAUAAGACAUUGUUUAAACAAACAAUGUAUAACAAAAGAAAACAUUUAAGUGUACGCAUAAUUGAAUACUGAAGCUUAAGAUUUUAUAUUCAAAUAGUAUUGAACAUAUAAGCGUCCAAAGAAAAAAAAAAUAUAGGAAAAACUUAUCAAAUAAUGUAAUGAAACUCAAACUGUUUUAUGAAAUAAGAUUUUUUAAUAAUCUGAUUCCUAAAUGAUAUACCUAUCAAACAAGUUAACAUGUGUUAGUAUGUUUUAAGCACAUAAUAUGUCUUAAUGUUUAUCACCAUUUAAAACAUUCAUUGUAUGUAUGAAAAAAAUGUGUUUAAAAAAUAGGAAUGUUUGAAAAGAAAUAACGGAGAGAGGAGUGUGAGCCGGAGGAGGAAGAAGGAUAUCAAGGAAAAAAGAUAAGGGCAACUCGGUCUUUUCCAAAAUUUAUGGGAGUGCGGGAUGAAAUGUACAAAGGUAUAGGAAGAAAGAGCAAAUGAAAGUGUUGAUUUUCUAUCUUCUUACACACCCACUCACAGGGGUUACUCCCUGUACCUUCCCAAUUCCAAUCCACACCCUCCCAUUCUAUUUUUACCCUUUGUUCUAUUUUUUCUAUUCCAAUUUUAUCCUUUAGCAAAAAUUUAUAUUUAGAAAUAAAAUUUUAUAAUUUUAUUCUCCCACCCCCACAUAACCUAUUUAUUCUUUUUUUUUAUUUUCAUGCUUUCGUCUUCACGCUUUCUUUCCAGGAAUUCUUUGUUCUAUUUUUCUAGAAAUUCUUUCUCCCAUUCUUCUUGUAUUUCAAGUGAUAAUUGAGAUAUCGAUUUCUUCUGAAAGAAUUUGUCCUUGAAUUAUUAUAUCUCUGCAUUACAUUGGUGUGGUGGUGUUGUAUCCAACCUUUAAGCAGUGAUCCUCUUCNNNNNNNNNNNNNNNNNNNNNNNNNNNNNNNNNNNNNNNNNNNNNNNNNNNNNNNNNNNNNNNNNNNNNNNNNNNNNNNNNNNNNNNNNNNNNNNNNNNNNNNNNNNNNNNNNNNNNNNNNNNNNNNNNNNNNNNNNNNNNNNNNNNNNNNNNNNNNNNNNNNNNNNNNNNNNNNNNNNNNNNNNNNNNNNNNNNNNNNNNNNNNNNNNNNNNNNNNNNNNNNNNNNNNNNNNNNNNNNNNNNNNNNNNNNNNNNNNNNNNNNNNNNNNNNNNNNNNNNNNNNNNNNNNNNNNNNNNNNNNNNNNNNNNNNNNNNNNNNNNNNNNNNNNNNNNNNNNNNNNNNNNNNNNNNNNNNNNNNNNNNNNNNNNNNNNNNNNNNNNNNNNNNNNNNNNNNNNNNNNNNNNNNNNNNNNNNNNNNNNNNNNNNNNNNNNNNNNNNNNNNNNNNNNNNNNNNNNNNNNNNNNNNNNNNNNNNNNNNNNNNNNNNNNNNNNNNNNNNNNNNNNNNNNNNNNNNNNNNNNNNNNNNNNNNNNNNNNNNNNNNNNNNNNNNNNNNNNNNNNNNNNNNNNNNNNNNNNNNNNNNNNNNNNNNNNNNNNNNNNNNNNNNNNNNNNNNNNNNNNNNNNNNNNNNNNNNNNNNNNNNNNNNNNNNNNNNNNNNNNNNNNNNNNNNNNNNNNNNNNNNNNNNNNNNNNNNNNNNNNNNNNNNNNNNNNNNNNNNNNNNNNNNNNNNNNNNNNNNNNNNNNNNNNNNNNNNNNNNNNNNNNNNNNNNNNNNNNNNNNNNNNNNNNNNNNNNNNNNNNNNNNNNNNNNNNNNNNNNNNNNNNNNNNNNNNNNNNNNNNNNNNNNNNNNNNNNNNNNNNNNNNNNNNNNNNNNNNNNNNNNNNNNNNNNNNNNNNNNNNNNNNNNNNNAAAAGAAACUAACCUGUCCGAAACGAACGAAGCAAGAACCACCGCCCCGCACCGCCGCAACACCCGCCGCACCAGCACCCUCCGCGCCGCCGCACACACUGGCAAGUGCACCGACCAACACACCCGCAAACGAAACCAACGUCUACCACCUCUCCGCACCGCGCCGGACCGCUACACAAUCACCGCACCGCCACCCACCGCACACCAAAACCACCAGACCGCACAAAGCAACGGAAAGUUCAGAGGAGGACUGGGAGAGUGAGAGUUGCAAAGAGCGUUUUGAAAAUGAAAGGUUUGGUGGGGGUGGGAAUACGAAGGAGAGGGAAUGUUUGGGUCUGUGUGUGUUUGACUGAAGCAGAGUGUAAAAGAGGUAGGAUAGGUUAACUUUAGUAAAUAGGGGUAAAAAGAUAAAAUUAAAAAAUUCAAAAACGUUAUUUUUAUAUUUAAAAAAACAUCCAAAAAAAUUGGGGGGUGGGGAUUGGAAUUGGGGAGGUACAGGGAGUAACCCCCCUCACACAACCCAAGCUAAAGUCCACCAUAGGAAAAGAAAAUGACAUUACUUCAUGCAACUCCCAUAAUUACUAAAUACACCCCACAAUAUUAGGAAAAGAUUCCCGCAUCCUAUCUCUGUGUGUGGAUAUGUAUUUAGGUCUCAUAUCCAUUAGUUUAAUUUCUUCGUGGAUUUUUUUUCUUACACAAUUUUUUUUUCUCAAUUGAUUAACUUGAGCAAUAUCUACUUAUUUCAUUCAAAUUACAAAGUAUUAUUAUCAUAAAUUUGAUUACAUAUUUGUUUAUUUUGUAGGGUAUGAAUGUUUAUCAUAAGGAAGUCUUUCUCUUUUGAAGUAGAAAAAGUGAAAGGUUACUCAAAAUUUAAUCUUAAGAUUUGAAACACUAAACAUAAUUUUUUAAUUCAAUCAAAUUAUUAGAAAAUAAAUUUUAAGUUUAACUCAACUCCACUGUUUGUAAGAUAAUGAUUGCAUUUCACUUAUAUAUUAUAAAUUAAUCUUAUUUCUAGUCGAUGUGUAACUCAUAUAAAAUACUUAAUUGAUACGUAAAUGUAUAAUAAAGUAUCGAUCUUAUACGGGUAAUAUGAAUAUAAGUGACAUAAAUUCGUACAAUCUGCUUAAUCAUUGACCUGUAUUUGUUUUAAGUAAAUAUGUUACUCGAUUGAUAAAAAAAUUAUUUUGCAUGAAAAAAAUAAUUUAUAUAAAUAACGUCUUACAAAAUUAUAUAAUUUAAAAGCACCUUAAAUAAAAUGGAAAUCCUUUUAACUGUUGAGAAGUUGAAAGUGUUAAGGAAUGAGUUGGUGAGUGAGUAAUCAAUUGAAAGAUUUGGCAGUGAUUGCAGUCUUGAGAAUUCAAAAGCACUGCAGUCAAGUUCUUUUAACAAAGAAGCCGCUUUUGCCAAAGUGAAAAAUCUUUGUACUUUUAAAAUGUUUGUAAUAACUUUUUCUUCUUUCAGUAUCUGGCAACAGAGAAAAUCCAAAAGAAUGGUAAAACACAUUAUUGUUGGUUUAGGGAAGAGUUUUUAACAAUUUUUUUGAGAAUAUAUACGUGAUAGUUUAUAAUUGGUCUGUUUUAAAUAUAUUUUUAAACAUAAAUUAAAAUAGAUGAAUAAAAUAAUGAUACGUAUCAUGUUGUCAAAAAAUUGUUAAAAAUAAUUAUAAAAAAAAUAUGAAAAUGCUUUAAACAAUGGUAAAACACAUGAUUGUUGGUUUAGGGAAGAGAUGCUCUUAUUCCUUCUUCUUGGUUGCCAUCAUAUCAAAUACAGCUAAGCAUCGAAUAAUUUCUGGAAUUAAUUCCUUAUUCAUAUACUCUACUUUUUCUUCGUAUAAACAUCAAACUUUUCCAUUUUUUAUUUUAGCAUAAUGAACCCUAACACUUAUUAUAUCAUUUUUUCACAGUUUCUUAAUAAAUUAUAAAAUUUUAAAUGAAACAGACUUAAAUAUACUUUUAUCUUAUAAUUUUGGGUUAAGUUUGUUUAAUCCUUUAAAUGUAAAAUCAAUUGUUUAAUAUUUGUGAUUUGAAAACAAUUGGGUCUCUGUGUCCAAACGUCUCGUACUAAAUAUUAUUAAAAUAAGUACUUUAAAAAAUAAACAUGUAAUUUGGUAUUUGAUUCUAGGAAUCUAAAAUUAAUUAUCAUAUAAAUUUUAACCCAUAAAAUUUUAAUCAUAAGUGAAAUUUUAACCGCAUUCAAUAUUAAUAAAAGAGUCUAAUUUUAAAUUUGAGAAAUUAAAAGUAAUUUUAUUCAUGAAUAAAAACCUAUUAACCCAUACAAAGAUGCAUAAAUAUAAUGUCUUCAAAUGUAUUUCUUUUUUUAAAUAGAAAUUGAGUUAUUCUUUUCUAUUUAACCCACUUACUCAUAUAUAUUUUACUGAUUAUUUUAUUUAGAUUUAGAUAAUAAUAAUUAUAACUACCAAAAGACUUUCCAAGGAAGCAAUUGGGACAAUUUUAUUUUUGUGAGUGUUGCUUUCACCCUUACAUGGGAAAUGACAACACGUUUGUGCUGAGUGCCAAUAUUGCGCACUCGUGUAUCACAAUUUAACUUUUAAUUAAAUAUAAUUGGUGGCACUUAGUAGUAUUUAAUUGUAAUAUUUCCAUUUCAAAAUACAUAGUUUUUUUAUUAUAUAUAAAAAUAAAUAAAAAUGACUGGUACUCUAAUGUUGAAUUUCUAUUAUAUGUCUUAAAAUUAAUUGCUUUCUCUUUCUUAAAGUAAUAUAUUUAUAAGAAAAUAAAUUUAAUUUUAAAAAGUAUUGUAUUUAUAUUUUAAAUUAUUGUUAACGUGUGUUAAAUAACAUUAAAAUAGAAUCAUUAUGAAAACGAAUAUAGUAUUUAAUAAUAAAUGUUUUUCUUUAACUUUUCUUGAAUUUUGAGUUAAAAUGCAUUAAUGGUCUUAAUUAAAUUAAAGAAUGAUCUAAUAAAAUAAAAUUAAUUAAGAUUUGUACUGUGGUCAACAAUACCAACACAGAAAAUAUAUUUAAAAAAGUAUUCUAAUGUUGAAAAAUUAUGUUUAAUAAAACAGUAAAUAUAUUUAUAAAAGUAUUAAAUAAAAUGUAUUUAAUGCCUUGAAAAUAUGAAACAUUCAAUAUUUACUAUACAAAAAAGUUAACGCUCGAAUUUGGAACCAUUGUUGGUGCAAUUGAGAAGAAGCUUCCAUUAAGGAAUGGUCACGCAACUUAGCAAAAGAAAAAUGUUGAAAAGUAUAAAUUCAAAAAGCAUUUACGAGGACCUAAGAAAAAAGUGUCCACCAACUCCUAUUCUCUUUGAGAAAACGUAAUUCGGAAGACUUCAUUUCGAUGUGCCAAAUGUCAAUUAAUUAAAAGAGAUUAUCGUCAUCUUUGCAAUAAGUGUUAACGUGUAAGGGACGCGCUUGCAUGAGUAGAAUUGCUUAAGCUAAUAUAACUAAAGAAAUUAAAUAGGACCAUUCAAGAAGAAUAUGACUAUCUAUUUAAAUUAAAACUAAAAUUUUACCUUCAAUCAUAAAAGUUUCGAUUAAGAAAUUAACAUUAUGACUUCAGUGUCUGAAAACGAUACUCUAAAUUUUAAAUAGAGUCCAGAUUAAAUGUAAAAUAAUAAUUAUUUGAUUUAAUAAACAAAAAUACCGAACAAUUACUUAAAUAAAUAACGCUUGGAAUUUGAUGUAAAAAUCUUUGUAUCCUUGUUCGAUUGCUAUAAAUACAUUUAAAUAUUAAUAGUAUGUAAUAUAAAUGUUCGAUUUUUCAAACCAAAUAUACAUAUUAAUUAUUAUGCAGUUAAAAUAGUGUAAAUUAUUCUAAAUUCAAAUCUUAUAAUAAACAAACUAAAAACAAUCUCUUCCUACCACCGUAACAACAGCAACGCAAAAUAAACCUAAUGUGUUAACUUAAAAUGGUAGGGCGAUUUCAACCGUAGAUUUCAAACAGUUAUAUUUAGUUACAAGACAUAAAGCUAUAAGAAUGGAAUGAACCAAACCUUCUUCAAGAAACUAGAUUUGAGGAAAGAAACUGCGUCGAAGACAUUUUUGUUUCAAGCUAAGUAAAAAAAACGUCAUCGCUACAAAAAAAUUAAGGUAAAUUCACAGCCAACUUCAUGAAUAAUUCGUACAAAACAUAAAAGCUAAAAACUCAGAAAAGAGCAGCACAAAUCUAAAUAUAAAAUAAAUUGAUUAUGUACUAGAAUCAAUGAUCACAACAACAACAGUAAUACUACUCAACUCAUACAAACAAUAUAGAUCCAGCAAUCAAUACAUAUAAUCUCUACAUAGGGACAUGAAUAGAGAGAAAGAGAGAAUUAUACACUAAUGCUACUCAAAUCUCCACUCCUACUAAAGUUCCACACAGGUAAACGAGAAAAUCCAUGAGCUAAGCUCAGAUCCGAAGAGAAGAACCGAAGGCAAGAGCAGCAACAGCGCCAACAACCCCGGCGACGAAGGACGGCGAAACAGCAACGGCGGGAGACGUCGGACUCGGUGCCGGAGCGUCGGCGGCGGAGAUAACGGCGACGAGUACCGACAUUACGGCGAUGAACAUUGCUUUAGAGAAAGCCAUUGGAUUUAUCACAAAUUUUCUGAUUUCUGUGUUUAGGGUUUGGGUUGCGUUGGGCGCAGUGAGAGUUCGUUUUGAGGAGAGGCGAAAAUGGUGGUUUAUAUAGAAGGAGGGAGGAGAGGUACGGGCAGUUCGGGUAGUUGCCCGAAGUACAGACUGGCAAUAGGUCCAUUGCCAGCUGGAUCUGCUUCUAUUCUGAAAAAUCAGGUUUCACAUGACUAUUUCACCACGACGCCGUUUCGCUCGCCUGAGGUUCCUUGUCCCAGUGGCUCGUGCUCUCACUUUCACGCACAACAUCUACA